rnacentral:rRNA from 1 species
GAGGAAAAGAAACUAACAAGGAUUCCCCUAGUAACUGCGAGUGAAGCGGGAAAAGCUCAAAUUUAAAAUCUGGCAGUCUUUGGCUGUCCGAGUUGUAAUCUAGAGAAGUGCUGCCCGCGCUGGACCGUGUACAAGUCUCCUGGAAUGGAGCAUCAUAGAGGGUGAGAAUCCCGUCUCUGACACGGACUCCCAGGGCUUUGUGGUACGCUCUCAAAGAGUCGAGUUGUUUGGGAAUGCAGCUCAAAAUGGGUGGUAAAUUCCAUCUAAAGCUAAAUAUUGGCGAGAGACCGAUAGCGAACAAGUACCGUGAGGGAAAGAUGAAAAGAACUUUGGAAAGAGAGUUAAACAGUACGUGAAAUUGCUGAAAGGGAAACGCUUGAAGUCAGUCACGUUGGCUGGGGAUCAGCCUCGCUCUUUUGCGUGGUGUACUUUCUAGUUGAUGGGUCAGCAUCAAUUUUGACCGCUGGAAAAAGGCUUGAGGAAUGUGGCAGCUUCGGCUGUGUUAUAGCUUCAUGUCACAUACAGCGGUUGGGAUUGAGGAACUCAGCACGCCGCAAGGCCGGGUCUUUGACCACGUUCGUGCUUAGGA